AGUGAACGCUGGCGGUAGGCCUAACACAUGCAAGUCGAACGGCAGCACAGUAAGAGCUUGCUCUUACGGGUGGCGAGUGGCGGACGGGUGAGGAAUACAUCGGAAUCUACUUUUUCGUGGGGGAUAACGUAGGGAAACUUACGCUAAUACCGCAUACGACCUACGGGUGAAAGCAGGGGAUCUUCGGACCUUGCGCGAUUGAAUGAGCCGAUGUCGGAUUAGCUAGUUGGCGGGGUAAAGGCCCACCAAGGCGACGAUCCGUAGCUGGUCUGAGAGGAUGUGCCGCCCCCCUGGACCUGGGCCCCGGUCCAACCCCCUCCGGGAGGCAGGAGGGGGGAAAUUUGGCCAAUGGGCGCAACCCUGCCCCAGCCCUCCCGCGUGGGUGAAGGAGGCCUUCGGUUUUUAAAGCCCUUUUUUUGGGAAAAAAAAGCAGCGGGUUAAUCCCCCGCUUUUCUGACGGUCCCCAAAAAAUAAGCCCCGGCUAACUUCGU
rnacentral:rRNA from 1 species